GUGGGGUCGAGUGCUUGCACUUUGCUGACGAGCGGCGGACGGGUGCGUAACACGUAGGAAUCUGCCUGGUAGUGGGGGAUAGCCCGGAGAAAUCCGGAUUAAUACCGCAUACGCCUUACGAGGGAAAGCAGGGGAUCUUCGGACCUUUCGCUAUCAGAUGAGCCUGCGUCGGAUUAGCUGGUUGGUGGGGUAAAGGCCUACCAAGGCGACGAUCCGUAGCUGGUCUGAGAGGAUGAUCAGCCACACUGGGACUGAGACACGGCCCAGACUCCUACGGGAGGCAGCAGUGGGGAAUAUUGCACAAUGGGCGAAAGCCUGAUGCAGCCAUGCCGCGUGUGUGAAGAAGGCUCUAGGGUUGUAAAGCACUUUCAGCGAGGAGGAAAGGUUAAAGGUUAAUACCCUUUGGCUGUGACGUUACUCGCAGAAGAAGCACCGGCUAACUCCGUGCCAGCAGCCGCGGUAAUACGGAGGGUGCGAGCGUUAAUCGGAAUUACUGGGCGUAAAGCGUGCGUAGGCGGCCUUUUAAGUUGGAUGUGAAAGCCCCGGGCUCAACCCGGGAACUGCAUCCAAAACUGGAAGGCUCGAGUGCGGGAGAGGAGUGUGGAAUUUCCUGUGUAGCGGUGAAAUGCGUAGAUAUAGGAAGGAACACC
rnacentral:rRNA from 1 species